UUUUGGACAAUGGGCGCAAGCCUGAUCCAGCCAUGCCGCGUGAGUGAAGAAGGCCUUCGGGUUGUAAAGCUCUUUCGGCGGGGACGAAACGGUUCGUGCUAAUACCACGGACUACUGACGGUACCCGCAGAAGAAGCACCGGCUAACUACGUGCCAGCAGCCGCGGUAAUACGUAGGGUGCAGGCGUUAAUCGGAAUUACUGGGCGAAAGCGUGCGCAGGCGGUUUGUUAAGACAGGUGUGAAAUCCCCGCGCUAACGUGGAACUGCAUUUAAACUGGCAAGCAGAGUCUUGAAGGGGGGAGAUUCCAGGUGAGCGGUAAAUGCGAAGUCUGGGGAAUCCGGUGGCGAGGGGCCCCCUGGCAAACUGCGUAAGGCAAUCGAUCUU
rnacentral:rRNA from 1 species